CUUGGUAUUGUAAUAUUACAAUUGAAAUGAAUGAGAAUUUAUUUCAGUAUGUUCUUGUUAUUUAAGGUCUUAAACUUAUAACAUGUUCUUCAACAUUUAACUUUCACCAUACAGAAAACUCUAACACUUUUCGGUAUCUAUGGUCCGCUUAUUAUUGCAAAAAUGCAACUUACAAAAAAAUGUACUUAUACCCGCUAUCCAUAAGUUAGACGGGCAUUGUAAUUUUUGCGACAAGAAAUAUAUAUGGGAAAACAAUGAUUGCUGCUGUCGAGUCUUAUGUCUUGCUGUAUUAAUUAUUUUCCAAAUGUACAAGGUUCAAAUUACAAAUUAAUUUAUAUAGUCUUCCCAUAUCCAAAUACUCAUUUGCAUUCCUUUAUCUGCUCAGUUAAGUAGUUUUACAUAUUGUUCUAGUAAUUUUGCUAACCUGACACAAGAGUUCCUGGUUUGCAAUUCAAAACGCGACAUGAAUUAGAAAAAUCACAUAAAGGGACAACAAUAAAAGCUAAAAAGCAUUGUAGACCCGUUGUAGCAUAUACGAAUUGUAAGUACAACACAAAGCAAUUGUUUCUAUUGUGGCCUCGACAAUAUUUAAAUGCAACCCGGAGGAGUCAGAUUGCAGCUGGAGCUUCAACCGGACAAAUGGGCAAGCAACGAGGCGUCAAGACCCCGCAAAGACAUGCAAAAUAUGCCAACUACAUGUACAUAUAUAAAGAGGCAUAUAAAUAAAAAAGAAUUGAAACAUUUCUAUGCGUCACGCGGCAUUUGCGACAGUUAGUCGAACGACCGAACGGCCUAUCUCCAUCCCUGGCCAGUCUGUGCAGCAUUUGCCAUUCAGUCGCUGUCGUCACUUGAGAGUGAAAUGAAUGCGGGUUGAAAAAUAACGGCAUUACACCCAGCGAAAGACAGACUAAAACAAAAAAAGAAUUAAAAUUGGCAAGAGUUGCCAAUGAAUUUUGCAAUAGGGCAAUGUCAAUGCACUUUCGUCGUAUUCUAAAAUAGACAGGCGGUCAGCGGGUAGAGAGUCGCGGAUCGCGGCUCGCGGUUCGCGGAUGAGUACAAUGGGUAGCGGGAAAUGGAUGGAGGCAGAGAUGCAGAUAGAGAUUGUACUCAAUCUGCUAUUCUGCUUGAAGGAGGAGCACUUAAAAACUGAAUGGGAAAUUGUUUGGAAAUGCUUUUUAAGCAAAUUGCAAAACAAUUAGCUGGAAGUCAAACGAUUCGAGAGAAGUUCUUAAACCUUAACCCUCUUUCAAAAUUAUUUAACACAAAACCAUUAGGCCAUGUGUUCACGUACAGUAAAC